GAUCCUGGCUCAGAAUCAACGCUGGCGGCGUGCCUAACACAUGCAAGUCGCACGAGAAAGCGGGCUUCGGCCUGCAAGUAAAGUGGCGCACGGGUGAGUAACACGUGAAUGAUCUACCUCCGAGUGGGGAAUAACCUAGAGAAAUCUGGGCUAAUACCGCAUAACACUUACGAGUCAGAGCAGCAAUGCGCUUGGAGAGGAGUUCGCGGCAGAUUAGUUAGUUGGCAGGGUAAUGGCCUACCAAGACGAUGAUCUGUAUCCGGCCUGAGAGGGCGCACGGACACACUGGAACUGAAACACGGUCCAGACUCCUACGGGAGGCAGCAGUGGGGAAUUUUGCGCAAUGGGGGAAACCCUGACGCAGCAACGCCGCGUGGAGGAUGAAAUCCCUUGGGAUGUAAACUCCUUUCGAUCGGGACGAUUAUGACGGUACCGGAAGAAGAAGCCCCGGCUAACUUCGUGCCAGCAGCCGCGGUAAUACGAGGGGGGCAAGCGUUGUUCGGAAUUAUUGGGCGUAAAGGGCGCGUAGGCGGUUUGACAAGUCUGAUGUGAAAUCUCUGGGCUCAACCCAGAGUCUGCAUUAGAAACUGUCGGGCUUGAGUAUGGGAGAGGUGAGUGGAAUUUCCGGUGUAGCGGUGAAAUGCGUAGAUAUCGGAAGGAACACCUGUGGCGAAAGCGGCUCACUGGACC
rnacentral:rRNA from 1 species